ACCUGCCGACCAUAUUGCCAGCUGUUUUGCCUUCAAUGCAACUAGUUCUCAGUCAGCACCUGGAAGCCACAAACCAGGUAUCAUCCCAAAUAUGCCUGAGGACAUCCCGAGGAAGUACAUGUUAGAAUAAUCUCCAUUGCACAGGAAGGACACAGACCAUCCCUGAGAGGCACAAUGGCUUAUCCAGGGUCAAAAUCAGAACUGCACACCAGAGAUGGGGCAGGAGUUGAGUGAUGACAUCCUCUGCUCAACUUCCGUGAAGGACAGGAAUAUGCCCCACACCACCAACAGGAUGCAGGACCGAAGCGGCUCAGGGGGAGUGCAGGGUAAAAAUGCCUCAACCGUGAAUAAGAAUGAGACCAGUGUGGUGUGGACCAUCCAGGCAGGCUUGCUGGAUAAGCAAGUGUAGCACCCAGUGCCUGUCUUCUUGGGCAGAGACCACCGACCCUGCCAUGUCUCCAUGUUCCUGGACAUGUACAGAACUUUUCGACUACU